CAGCAGCCACGGGAAAACAUAGGAUGCAAGCGUUAUCCGGAAUGAUUGGGCGUAAAGCGUCUGUAGGUGGCUUUUCAAGUCCGCCGUCAAAUCCGGGGCUCAACCCUGGACAGGCAGUGGAAACUACCAAGAUGGAGUACGGUAGGGGCAGAGGGAAUUUCCGGUGGAGCGGUGGAAUGCGUUUAGAUCGGAAAGAACACCAACGGCGAAAGCACUCUGCUGGGCCGACACUGACACUGAGAGACGAAAGCUAGGGGAGCAAAUGGGAUUAGAUACCCCAGUAGUCCCUGUCUCUUAUACA
rnacentral:rRNA from 1 species